CCUACGGGGCGCUGCAGUGGGGAAUAUUGCACAAUGGGGGAAACCCUGAUGCAGCAACGCCGCGUGAGUGAAGAAGUAUUUCGGCAUGUAAAGCUCUAUCAGCAGGGAAGAAGAAAGACGGUACCUGACUAAGAAGCCCCGGCUAGCAACGUGCCAGCAGCCGCGGUAAUACGUAGGGGGCAAGAGUUAUCCGGAUUUACGGGGUGUAAGGGGAGCGUAGACGGCUGUGCAAGUCUGAAGUGAAAGCCCGUGGCACAACCGCGGAAAUGCUGUGGAAACUGUAUAGCUUGAGUACUGGAGAGGCAGGCGGAAUUCCUGGUGUAGCGGUGAAAUGCGUAGAUAUUAGGAGGAACACCAGUGGCGAAGGCGGCCUGCUGGACAGAAACUGACGUUGAGGCUCGAAAGCGUGGGGAGCAAACAGGAUUAGAUACCCCAGUAGUC
rnacentral:rRNA from 1 species